AUUGAAUGCUGACGGCGUGGAUGAGGCAUGCGAGUCGAACGGAAAGUGGAGCAAUCCACUUUUAGUGGCGUAAGGGUUAGGAAUAUAUGGAUAACUCACCUUUGACACUUCGGAUAACGGUUGGAAACGACCGCUAAUACGAGAUGAGGUGAUAAGGGCGAUAGCUCAUAUCAUCAAAGUAGGGGACCGGGAAACCGGCCUCGCGGUGAAAGAGAGGUCCAUACGAUAUCAGCUAGUUGGUGAGGUAAAGGCUCACCAAGGCUAAGACGUCUAGGCGGAUUGAGAGAUUGACCGCCAACACUUGGACUGAGACACUGCCCAGACUCCUACGGGAGGCUGCAGUCGAGAAUCUUUCGCAAUGGGCGAAAGGCCUGACGAAGCGACGCCGUGUGAGCGAUGAAGGCCUUCGGGUUGUAAAGCUCUUUCGCCAAAGAACAAGAGAGGUGGGUUAACAGCCCACUAAUUUGAGUGUACUUGGUAAAGAAGCACCGGCUAACUCCGUGCCAGCCGCCGCCGUAA
rnacentral:rRNA from 1 species